GGGUCCAAAAGAUGGGGACAAUUUAGAGAAGGACAUUGAAUGUUGCCAAUGUUGUCCUCAAGCUUGACGGUAAUAUACUUAAUGAUACAAUCGGUACAGAAUGGAUGGAUGCAGAGAUUUUGGUUCUUGAAUUUUUUGUUGGGUAACAACAUAGGCUCGAUACAAAUUUCGCAGGAAUACUAUGAAGACAUUACUGCAAAGAUUGAGGAAGGAGAUGGACCUUCUGAUAUUCCUUUAGAAAUGCAAGGUUAAAUUGUAGAAGCGUAGAAGAAACAGUGGAACUCACAUAAAGAAUGUGUUUGAAGUGAUGCAUUAGCUGCAAUCUUGAAAAGCAAAUUGAACACCACAGUUGGCCUUUGAAACAACUUUAAUUAGAAAACCAUAAUCUAUGAGAAUAUUGACUCAACUGUAC